rnacentral:rRNA from 1 species
UACAGGGGGUGCAAACGUUGCUCGGAAUUAUUGGGCGUAAAGCGCGCGUAGGCGGCUACUUAAGUCGGAUGUGAAAGCCCUUGGCUCAACUGAGGAAGUGCACCCGAAACUGAGUGGCUUGAGUACGAAAGAGGGUCGCGGAAUUCCCGGUGUAGAGGUGAAAUUCGUAGAUAUCGGGAGGAACACCGGUGGCGAAGGCGGCGACCUGGGUCGAUACUGACGCUGAGACGCGAAAGCGUGGGGAGCGAACAGG